rnacentral:rRNA from 1 species
CCAGACUCCUACGGGAGGCAGCAGUAGGGAAUCUUCGGCAAUGGACGAAAGUCUGACCGAGCAACGCCGCGUGAGUGAAGAAGGUUUUCGGAUCGUAAAACUCUGUUGGUAGAGAAGAACGUUGGUGAGAGUGGAAAGCUCAUCAAGUGACGGUAACUACCCAGAAAGGGACGGCUAACUACGUGCCAGCAGCCGCGGUAAUACGUAGGUCCCGAGCGUUGUCCGGAUUUAUUGGGCGUAAAGCGAGCGCAGGUGGUUUAUUAAGUCUGGUGUAAAAGGCAGUGGCUCAACCAUUGUAUGCAUUGGAAACUGGUAGACUUGAGUGCAGGAGAGGAGAGUGGAAUUCCAUGUGUAGCGGUGAAAUGCGUAGAUAUAUGGAGGAACACCGGUGGCGAAAGCGGCUCUCUGGCCUGUAACUGA